CCUUUUUUUUUUUCCGUCUUCUUCCUCUCUGCCUCAGUCUCUCCCUCUGUCUCUCUUCUGGGCUCACAAUUCUUUUCCCCAGGCCGUGAUUUAUUGUUUGCAGGGGGUCACUUGACCUCCUUGGCCCUACGUGGAUUCGCCAGUGAACCUUGAUACAACUUUUUUCAGAUUUUCCUUUCCAUAAAUGCAAAUACCCAGAUGGAGAAACUUGUUUCUACUCAAGAAUUCAUUGAUUUCAUCAACUCCUACAGCAACCCGCUUCGCUUGGUUCCAUUCUACUCCAACUUCAUGCGAGAAGUGGAAGAACAAAUGGUCCUUUGAUGUAAAAAGCAGUCAACAACCAUCAAAGAAUUACAUCAGAUAUGCAACACGUCAGAAGCAUGCUGAUACAAAGAAAGCCCUGAAAACCCUCCUCUUCAACAGUGGGUCCUCUAAAAAUUUCUUUCAGAACAUUCAGAAUGAAAAUGAUUCAGGAAGCUCUCCUCAGAAACAUAGGUCGAGAUCUUCUCGACAUGCUGUGAAGUCACACCACAAGAAAACAAAACGCAAGUUCAAAAGAGAGAGUUUCUUCGAAGAUGAUGACAACAAUCUUGAGUCUAUCUUUCAUGCGACAUUUGGCAAGAAAUGGUACUCCUGGUCUUUUGACUCGUGCCGUGACUCCUCUUUUAAAGAUUCAGAAUCCGGAUUUGAGUGGACAGAGCAAUCAAGCUGGAAAGAUAAAAGUAAAAGAUGGGAGAAUAGUAGUGACGCGGAGUCUGAUGAUGAAUCAUGUACUAUAGGAUCUUAUUCUGAUAGAACAAUUCUUGGUCUGCCUCCAACAGGUCCUUUAAAGACUGAAGAUGUUAAAAAAGCUAUUAUUUAAACAUAUGAAUCCUUCUGGCAGUUUCCAUAUAUCAGCUUUAAAAUGGCAUCCUGACAAGCAUGAAGGCAAUUCACAGGCAAUGGCUGCAGAGAAAUUUAAACUUUGUGUUAAUGCUUACAAAUCUCUGUGCAAUGCACUAUCCCCAGCGUAAGCCGGGGGGCUCAAAAGGUUCUGGUUUGAACAUUAACAGCCCCCUCUGUACCGGUUCUCUAUUCAAAAGGAAAUCCUCAUACAGAUUUGACCCAGUACUGGACAUGGUCUCCAGAUCAAAGCGUUAGUCUACUUGAAUAGUAAUUUGAUUAAUAUAUUCAAAUUUCAUAUGCAUAAAGAUUGUACUGAAUCUAUUGACAAAUUUAUAAAGAAAAUUACAAUUCUUUUAGAGAUAUUCCUUUUU